GACUCGCUCUGACAUCUUGACGCAACCACACAGGACACUACAGAAAAGAGUUGUCUCCAGCGCGAGCUUCUGCCCUUCCCAAGAGGGAAGCUGACUCCGGCACCUUGGGACAUGGACGUCUCAGCCCAACAGAACGAAACAUAUAAACUACAAACCAACACAGCCUCCCCGCACACCGCACACCACAUCUUGCAGAGAAAGGAGGUGGCCCGAGUGCUUUAAGUGCCUCACAACGUCCACAUUGUGCUGGUGGAGUUACUUUUAAUGAAGUUGUUAUUAUGCCACAAGAAUGCAAUAAAACAUCUGAAACCUGAAAUUUCCUAUUUUUUAUCAUCUCCUGUGUAAAAAAAAAAAAAAUCUCCAAAAAAAAAAAAAAAAAAGGAAAAAAAGGUUUGUUUUCAAACGUAGUAUACGGGAGUAACUGGAUAGAGAGGUUCCAAGCCAAC
ensembl:lncRNA LOC120097574 uncharacterized LOC120097574